rnacentral:tRNA from 2 species
GCCGGAGUAGCUCAGUGGUAGAGCAUCGCAUUCGUAAUGCGAGGGUCGCGGGUUCGAAUCCCGCCUUCGGCUCCA